rnacentral:rRNA from 1 species
UCGGGAAUUUUGGGCAAUGGGCGAAAGCCUGACCCAGCAACGCCGCGUGAAGGAUGAAGUAUUUCGGUAUGUAAACUUCGAAAGAAUAGGAAGAAUAAAUGACGGUACUAUUUAUAAGGUCCGGCUAACUACGUGCCAGCAGCCGCGGUAAUACGUAGGGUGCAAGCGUUAAUCGGAAUUACUGGGCGUAAAGCGUGCGCAGGCGGCUUUGCAAGACAGAUGUGAAAUCCCCGGGCUCAACCUGGGAACUGCAUUUGUGACUGCCAGACUAGAGUGUAGCAGAGGGGGGUAGAAUUCCACGUGUAGCAGUGAAAUGCGUAGAUAUGUGGAGGAAUACCGAUGGCGAAGGCAGCCCCCUGGGCUAACACUGACGCUCAUGCACGAAAGCGUGGGGAGCAAACAGGAUUAGAUACCCCAGUAGUCCCUGAGCGGGCUGGCAAGGCGCAU